AGUGAACGCUGGCGGUAGGCCUAACACAUGCAAGUCGAACGGCAGCACAGUAAGAGCUUGCUCUUACGGGUGGCGAGUGGCGGACGGGUGAGGAAUACAUCGGAAUCUACUUUUUCGUGGGGGAUAACGUAGGGAAACUUACGCUAAUACCGCAUACGACCUACGGGUGAGAGCAGGGGAUCUUCGGACCUUGCGCGAUUGAAUGAGCCGAUGUCGGAUUAGCUAGUUGGCGGGGUAAAGGCCCACCAAGGCGACGAUCCGUAGCUGGUCUGAGAGGAUGAUCAGCCACACUGGAACUGAGACACGGUCCAGACUCCUACGGGAGGCAGCAGUGGGGAAUAUUGGACAAUGGGCGCAAGCCUGAUCCAGCCAUACCGCGUGGGUGAAGAAGGCCUUCGGGUUGUAAAGCCCUUUUGUUGGGAAAGAAAAGCAGCAGGUUAAUACCCCGCUGUUCUGACGGUACCCAAAGAAUAAGCACUGGCUAACUUCGUG
rnacentral:rRNA from 1 species